rnacentral:rRNA from 1 species
AUUGAACGCUAGCGGGAUGCUUUACACAUGCAAGUCGAACGAGUGGCGGACGGGUGAGUAAUAUAUCGGAACGUGGCUAGUCGCGGGGGAUAACUACUCGAAAGCGUGGCUAAUACCGCAUAAUAUUGGAUCGGCCCAUGUUGGAUUAGCUAGUUGGUGGGGUAAAGGCUCACCAAGGCAACGAUCCGUAGCUGGUUUGAGAGGACGACCAGCCACACUGGGACUGAGACACGGCCCAGACUCCUACGGGAGGCAGCAGUGGGGAAUUUUGGGCAAUGGGGGAAACCCUGAGCCAGCCAUGCCGCGUGUAUGAGAAGGCCUUCGGGUUGUAAAGUACUUUUGGCAGAGAAGCGGUAUCUACAGAAUAAGCACCGGCUAACUACGUGCCAGCAGCCGCGGUAAUUC